UUGCCUCCAUCCCCUACUAGCGACGAUGUUUUUACACACAUCGUUUUAUGCUUGUCCGGGAAGAUUUUAGCUGAAUUAUUUGAAGAAGUUUUGGACCAAUUAGAUUUAGACGCUGGCGCACAGGCUGGACUUGCUGGAGGAAGCAGUAGUGGCGUGCAGAGGAGGGAACUUAACGAUGCUGAGGACUCUUGAUUUUAUGAGGUGCAUGUGUUUCUUUGAGCUUCUCUAGAGAAAAUAAUGCUCAUGGACCUGGAUAUCGGUUUGUAAAUCGUCGUUGUAUUUUUAAAUCACAACUUUCUUUGUGUUGAGCCCAAAACAAACAGUGAGUUGAUUGAGUUGUGCGGCAAAUUUAUAUGUAUAUGUGUGGCAAAUUUAUAAGUUGGCAGAGAUACUUUAAGAGAGAGAUGAUAUGUAUGAAAAAACAUGUGUGACU